AUGGUGGAAGGCUUGGAGGCCGAUAUCGUGAACUUGAAAUUUCUGUUGCUUUGCUUCCAACAGUUGUCGGGCCUCAAAAUAAACUUCGAUAAGAGCGAGGUCAUGGUGCUUGGCUUCCCUCCUGCCGAUAGCCAGAGUACCACUAACCGACUCAAUUGUCGGCUCGGAUCCUUCCCCACCACCUACCUGGGGAUCCCCAUUAGCGACUCUCGGCUCCCCGUGGCGGAUCUUAGGCUCGGUCUCAAGCUUUAGCACCGUAUCGAGCCCUGGCAGGGCCGAUGGCUGUCUAAAGUGGCCCGAACGAUCCUCAUUAACUCAUCCUUGUCCAGCCUCAUCUUGUUCAUCACCAGUUUCUAUAGCUUGCCCGAAACGUUGCACCAUGAGAUCGGUUCGGUCCAAGCCCGCUUCUACUGGGCUGGAGAGGGCGAUAAGAAGAAGUACCAUAUGGUAUGAUGGACCAAAGUCUACAAGCCUAGGGAUCAAGGCGGCCUUGGCAUUAUGUCCUCCAAAUGCAUGAACCUAGCCCUCCUCACUCGAUGGCUAUGGCGCAUUGUGAAUGGUGAGGGUGGCCUUUGGUUGUAA
rnacentral:rRNA from 1 species